UGCAUGAAGUCGGAAUUGCUGUAAUCGCGGAUCAGCAUGCCGCGGUGAAUACGUUCCCGGGCCUUGUACACACCGCCCGUCACACCAUGGGAGCCGGUAAUACCCGAAGUCAGUAGUCCAACCUCGUGAGGACGCUGCCGAAGGUAGGAUUGGCGACUGGGGUGAAGUCGUAACAAGGUAGC
rnacentral:rRNA from 1 species